rnacentral:lncRNA from 1 species
GCAACCUGUAUUGAUGUCACAAGCUCAGGCUUCUGACUUCAUUGCAUAAUGCAGUAGCAACUGGAUUUGCAGCAGAAACACCCUGCUAAAGAACAAGUAUCUUGGUUCACAGCAAAGAGGACAAAGGAAAACAGCAAGUUCUAGGGAGUUGAAUGCUGGAUUGACUCUUCAUUCUACUCUAUGUCUAUAAUUAUGCCACGUCCUCCUGAUUUUAUCUAAUUUUGAACAGAUGCUACUGUUGCUGGGGAAAUGUCACUGUUAGAGAAUAGAAAACCAUUAUUCCGAAGAGUAUGGAAGACUGACUGAAUCAGGUCUGGAACAUUAUUGAAAUGGUAAGAUAAACUGGAGUCCUCUCUGAUCAAAGAAAAAUUCUUUUUUUAAAAAAAAAA